UACAGAGGGUGCGAGCGUUAAUCGGAAUUACUGGGCGUAAAGGGCUCGUAGGCGGCCAACUAAGUCGGACGUGAAAUCCCCAGGCUCAACCUGGGAACUGCGUCCGAUACUGGAUGGCUUGAAUUCGGGAGAGGGAUGCAGAAUUCCAGGUGUAGCGGUGAAAUGCGUAGAUAUCUGGAGGAAUACCGGUGGCGAAGGCGGCAUCCUGGACCGACAUUGACGCUGAGGAGCGAAAGCUAGGGGAGCGAACGGG
rnacentral:rRNA from 1 species